GGCGCCAUCCACAGAGCAAGAGCAAACUGAAACUGCUGACCUGAAACCGACCUCAGCUGCCCCGUUUUCCACCCCCACACGUCCGUACCCGCAGUGUUUACCUUCCAGCUGAUAACGCCCACCCUCUGCUUCCUGGCUGCUAAGAACCCGUCAUUAACUAAUCAGCAGGAUGAAAAACAACACGGCAAAAGUAUGAAAGAAGGAAACAUGGAGCAAAUGUUUUUUCAUUUAUGAAAACAUUUAAGUUUACACUUCAAGCUCCACCACCUGCUGCAGGCUUCAGUGAUGAUUUCAGCAAAGAGAGAAAGAAAGAGGAAGUGCAACAGGGAGGAAGAUCAUUUUUGGAAAUCUUUGCAAUGAAAAUAUAAAGAAUGACACACACACACUCAGAUUUAGUCACAUGACUCCCCUGAGACCAGAGAGAUGUCUGUGCUGAUGCUGCCAUAUUAGGAGAACCAGCAGGGAGGAAAAACAUCUGGACUGCAGCAGCAUUUACUAAACACAUCAGGAACUGUGGGAAAAUUCUCACACACACACACACACACACACACACACACACACACACACACACACACACACACACACAGGGUGAGCCCAGGCCACGGUCAAUAAUAGACUCACUAGCUGUGAAAUUAGCCAAUCAGAAAGCUGCGGUGGGCCAUCAGCACAGUUUAAACAAGGUACACACAGACUCACACGUGUGUGUGUGUGUGUGUGUGUGUGUGUGGCUGCCAAAGGAGGCUGAUUUACACAGAGUACUCUGUUCAGAUCAAAGUACUUGAGAGGGCCAAUCAGAAAGCACCAGCAUGACAUCACUCACAUUAGGAAGCCCAGAGUUUAGCAUGAUUGCCAGAAGUGACCAUAUUUGGAAACAGAGGGGGAGCGCCAAGUUAUCGGCUAAUGCUAACUAGCUUGGUAGCAUCCACAGACAAGAUAACGGCCGAUUGGAGCUCGGUAAAAAAGAUAAAGUAGAAUUUUAUCAGAACUGAAGCAUGUUAGCAUGGCAACCUCACAGCAGCCAUAUCAUUGGUCACAUGAUGUCAUUAAAGGCUCCAACAGCACAAACCUGGUCCACAGGUGCAGUCCAGCUGAAGUGAAGCCAAGCAGCCAGCUAGCAGCUACAGCCACCUGUGUCACCCUCCACCUCUCAGUCAAAAAGGCCACGCCCCUAACAAUACAAACUACAAGCCUUAAUACAAUGACAGUAUUCAACCCCUCCAUGGUUUUAAUGAGGGGGCUUUAAGAGGGUAAAACUGAUGCUGCUGGCGUUCCUCACACCAAGGCUGCAACUGAUCAAACGUCCUCAGUGACGAGCGAGCUCGCACAGAUUUGUGAAGAUUAAAAUGAUGGUAUGAACCUUGUUGUUUGGGCCAACAGCAGGUAUUCAGUUACCAGGAUACGGAGACGAUCCUGAAGAAAAGAACAAAGCCUCAGUGAGUCCGAGGAGGAGUGGCCCCCGCAGUGCGGAAAUGUGACAUGAUUGUAUUAUGGCAGCAUGUGUGUCUGCUGUGAGUGAUGACCAAGGCUAAUGGGAGCUCCAUUCUUCUGUUUCAAUGAGGCUUCUAUAACAGGAAGUCCGAAAGAAACAGAGACGAACGUGACGCUCGACCGUGAUGUGGGAAUAAUGAGAAGAACGAGUUCCCGGCUGGGAUCGUUCCUGCAAACGCCUCCUCAAAGUCACGGCAGCUCAGCGUUAUCAGCGCGACUCGAUAGCGGUUUCACAGCUCACUGAGCUCAGCCAUACGCUGACCAGACGCUGCCCUGAAUCGCUUUAUGACACCGUGAUGCAUCGUUUUCUUUCAAUUCAUCUGUCUGAGACAACGAUGUGAUCGCAUCAUGUCUGGAAGACGCCCCUCGCUCUUAUUUUGAAGGUUCAGUCGCUGUCUUCCUGUUACAGUUAUUAUAGUUUCUCAUAUUUUAUUUUGACCUUCACACCGGCGUGCCUCUUUCUGCACGCUCCACAUCUGGAAAUGAGUUCCAGCAAUUUGUGUGAAA